AUGCUGCUCACACAUCUGUUGUUCAUGCGUGCACGGGGGCGCGGAGGUGGGCGACCGGGCGUGGGAGGCGGCUCGCGAGCACCAGGCAGGCGCAGCUGUCACCUGCGUCGACGAGGAGCACAUGCCCGCGGAGGGAUGUUGUGGCCUGGCACUAUCCGUCGUGGAGCUCGCGAGGGACUCCUUGUCACGGGCGGGCGCUGCCUGUCACGGUGCUCGCGAGGUCCAGUUUGGGAUCCAUGGAGCCAGAGCGCAGCGGCAGAACUGCGCGACGGCCGUCGCGGUGGGCGAGCACGGCGGCGGCGACUGCAACUGCUGCUGCGGUGA
rnacentral:rRNA from 1 species